UCGCGAGACGACAGGUGGCAGCCCUGUUCGAGCCAUUUUGUCGCGAGCUUGUGUACGUGUGUGUGAUUUCGCGCGCGAUUAAUUUCGAUCCUUCGAACAUCAGAUAUUAUAACAAGUAUCGUGCACUAUAAUCAUAAUCGUUUGAUGAAACUACCAUCAAUUGCGCUGUUUAAUCCGAUCGAGAGUAAUUUGUUACUUUAUAUUGGAAUGAUGGAGCAAAUGUAAUCUCUCGCGAGCGAACUUUUCCGAACGCGUCGAGCUGGUAAAUUUGCUUUGCAAAACAACCGUUGGGCGGCGCUGAUAUUCGUGGCAGCCAUCUUCCCGCGAUUUUAUAUUCAAGUGACGCUGCAAGUGUGAUUUCGUAGACGAUUAAUCCGUAUUUUUUACGAAUAUCCAAGUUCGUGUGCACGAUCGCGAAUUGUUAUUAUUAUUAAUCGUUUCGCGAAAUGCUCGUUGAUCGCGUAAUGUUGCAGUGUUCGGUCAGUGAUUCGGUUUUCCGCGUGUUUUUUACGUUCGAAGUGUGAUUUCGCGAGUGAUCUUUUGCGUCGCGAGCAUACAUGUCGGGAAGCCAUCUUAAUUUCUCGAGAUAAUUGGUCAUUAUUAUACAAUAUCGUGUUCGAUUCGGUCAAUUUUUUGCGUGAUUUUUAACUCGAGUGAUAGUAAAUGUUGUCGCGCGAGUGUUGAGUUCCUGUAUUCAUCGUGAAAUAUCGAAACGAUGCAGUAUUUGUUCAACUUCGAGAUCGACGUAGCAUAGGCCCCGGAGGGAUUCGAACCCUCGAUCUCCUGUUUACUAGACAGGCGCUUUAACCAACUAAGCCACGGCGCCGUUGGAGGAAUGAGAUUACUCCAGUGCAUUCGUAAGAUGCAAGCAUCAUCCCCGAGUCGGUAGGGUAGAUACCCCCGGAGCUAAGGGGUCGCUACUCGACCGUUUUCUUAUCGACUGGAAGCUUCAUGCAAAACGGCUCGCUAACUCCCCGAUAGAAAGGGGUAGCUGCGAAUUGCCGCCGUCGAUUUGAACGGCUACCUAAGAUCCAUCCCUUCGGGCGAACAUUUGGCCGCGUGAUCUCAACCGAUUCCGGAUAAAUGGCUGACUCUCUAAUUGGGCUUCCGCAUCUAUAAUUUUGGCAGUGUGAAGACUCACAAAGGCUCACAUUUUGGCUUCUAGUGAAGGCUCACAAAGUGAUUCAAUCGUUUCGUCGUGAUGUCAGAUCCAUAACGGGGGGACGUACAAAGGGAUGCUGAAACGAAGUCUGAAGUAUUUUGGCGAAACAAGUCGACGUGCCAUCGAGAAAAGCUCACGCGCAGCCGACCGGAGUUUUGCAGCUGCGCCUAUUACUAAUCCACGGUAGAACAAUUUAAGUGUUUGCUAUCACUAAUAACCCGGCGAGCAAA
rnacentral:tRNA from 1 species